AUUGAACGCUGGCGGCAUGCCUAACACAUGCAAGUCGAACGGCAGCAUGAGUGAGGGUAACCUUACUUGAUGGCGAGUGGCGGACGGGUGAGUAAUAUGUAGGAAUCUACCUAGAGGAGGGGGAUAACUUAGGGAAACUUAAGCUAAUACCACAUAAGCCCUACGGGGGAAAGCAGGGGAUCGCAAGACCUUGCGCCUUAUGAUGAGCCUACAUCGGAUUAGCUUGUUGGUGGGGUAAAGGCCUACCAAGGCGAUGAUCCGUAGCUGGUCUGAGAGGAUGACCAGCCACACUGGGACUGAGACACGGCCCAGACUCCUACGGGAGGCAGCAGUGGGGAAUAUUGGACAAUGGGGGCAACCCUGAUCCAGCAAUGCCGCGUGUGUGAAGAAGGCCUUAGGGUUGUAAAGCACUUUCAGUGGGGAGGAAGGGGUGAUUGAUAAUACCAAUUAUCAUUGACGUUACCCACAGAAGAAGCACCGGCUAACUCUGUGCCAGCAGCCGCGGUAAUACAGAGGGUGCGAGCGUUAAUCGGAAUUACUGGGCGUAAAGGGUGUGUAGGUGGUUGUGUAAGUUAGAUGUGAAAUCCCUGGGCUCAACCUGGGAACUGCGUUUAAAACUGCAUAGCUAGAGUACUGUAGAGGAUAGUGGAAUUUCCAGUGUAGCGGUGAAAUGCGUAGAUAUUGGAAGGAACACCAGUGGCGAAGGCGACCAUCUGGGCAGAUACUGACACUGAGACACGAGAGCAUGGGGAGCAAA
rnacentral:rRNA from 1 species